rnacentral:rRNA from 1 species
UGGGGAAUAUUGCACAAUGGGCGAAAGCCUGAUGCAGCAACGCCGCGUGAGUGAUGAAGGUCUUCGGAUUGUAAAGCUCUGUCUUUUGGGACGAUAAUGACGGUACCAAAGGAGGAAGCCACGGCUAACUACGUGCCAGCAGCCGCGGUAAUACGUAGGUGGCGAGCGUUGUCCGGAUUUACUGGGCGUAAAGGGUGCGUAGGCGGAUGUUUAAGUGAGAUGUGAAAUACCCGGGCUUAACUUGGGUGCUGCAUUUCAAACUGGAUAUCUAGAGUGCAGGAGAGGAGAAUGGAAUUCCUAGUGUAGCGGUGAAAUGCGUAGAGAUUAGGAAGAACACCAGUGGCGAAGGCGAUUCUCUGGACUGUAACUGACGCUGAGGCACGAAAGCGUGGGUAGCAAACAGGAUUAGAUACCCUGGUAGUCCACGCCGUAAACGAUGAGUACUAGGUGUAGGAGGUAUCGACCCCUUCUGUGCCGCAGUAAACACAUUAAGUACUCCGCCUGGGAA